rnacentral:misc_RNA from 1 species
UUCAGAUGCUGAUGAAGGCAAGUUACAUGUAGAACAUCAUUUCCCCAGAGAUCCCAAGUAUUUUGACAUCAGCGACUGAGAUGGUGAACUUUAUUCGAUGUCUCACCGUCUUAUUUCCGUUGUGCAUAAUGUAAAUGUUAUUCCUAGUUCACAUGUAAAUUCUCCAAUAAAUAGUUCUAUCAUUGACCUGUACAGAAUUGUACAUAAGCAUUUUCUACCAUCAAUGGA